rnacentral:rRNA from 1 species
GAUGAACGCUGGCGGCGUGCCUAAUACAUGCAAGUCGAGCGAACAGACGAGGAGCUUGCUCCUUUGACGUUAGCGGCGGACGGGUGAGUAACACGUGGGUAACCUACCUAUAAGACUGGGAUAACUUCGGGAAACCGGAGCUAAUACCGGAUAAUAUUUCGAACCGCAUGGUUCGAUAGUGAAAGAUGGCUUUGCUAUCACUUAUAGAUGGACCUGCGCCGUAUUAGCUAGUUGGUAAGGUAACGGCUUACCAAGGCAACGAUACGUAGCCGACCUGAGAGGGUGGUCGGCCCCACUGGAACCUGAACACCGUCCCGGCUCCUACGGGAGGCCGCAGGUGGGAAUCUUCCGCAAAUGGCGAAAACCUGACGGAGCAACGCCGCGUGAGGUGUGAAGGUCUUCCGAUCGUAAAACCCUGUUAUUAGGGAAAAACAAACGUGUAAGUAACUGUGCACGUCUUGACGGUACCUAAUCAGAAAGCCACGGCUAACUACGUG